CGCUUCCGCAAAUCCGGCCGCUGCUGAUACAAUUCCUCCCGCUGGCUCCACUGUCAAGUCCAGCGACCCAAUUCGCAAUUCACCCUCAUCAGUGCAUUCAUCUUCUGGCUCUACUGGAAAAACAAAAGCUAAAAGAUAUGAUCAUGAAAAUUUAUACAAUAGCUCAUACUUUAAAAAGCAUAGAGCACAAAGGUAUGUAUCUCCACUUCAGGACCCUGAGUCCCCUUUUUUCUUGACUUCCGGGGAUCAUCCGGGAGCUGUGUUAGUUCCAGAUAGGUUAAUUGGAGAGUCCAAUUACAUAACUUGGUCUAAUGGGAUGAAAGUCUCAUUAGUUUCAAGAAGGAAAGAAUCCUUCAUAAAUGGCCAGAUUAGGAUGCCCGAUGAUUGUG
rnacentral:lncRNA from 1 species